UCCUAAACCGACAUUCCUUUCCCCACUUCCCUUCCUUCUCAUUCCGUCACUAUUCAUCAUCAUUUUCAAACCCUUCUUUUCAUCCUCAAGACCUUCAAAACCCAUGCUCUCAUCUCGCCGUCCCUUGUCUUUGAUUUUCGAGAAAUUGGGUUCUUCUUCCUCUGAAUUUCGAAAGGCUGUGUGAAAUCAAAGUAGCAUCGAAAUCCUUUCUCCUUGUCUCUGAUUUCUGCGAGUUAGGGGAGAAGGAGUGAGCUUCAAUCUUGUGAUUAAACAUCCAAUUCAAACCGUGAAUCAAGCAUUAAGUCCGUUUUCCUCCUUGUUUCUGGUAGCUGAACAGAAGGAAGCGACAUUAUCGAAGAGCCCUUCUAAUAAGCGCGGGGGUAGCAGACUUGGCCUCUUGAAGCGUUCUUUUUGCUUGUCUACAGAUUGGAACCAGUCGGGAAUAAUGGAUUAGCGAAGGUGAAUAGAGUUUCCAAGGAUGUUAAUUGAGUUGAGUACUUAGGAAUUAUAGAUUUGUAUUAGGAAUUUUGGAUAAAUGUAAAUUUGUUUUGGCUGUGCUGGUUAUAUCGGACUUGUAGAGAAUUGUAUGAUUAUCUUGUGUUUUAGUUAGAUGUUGGUUUUGGGAUUUAGAUGAAUUAGUCACGUUGAAGAGCUUGUGAUUCCUUUGCUCGAGUUUUGGAAGUGUGAUUUCAGUUUCUUGGGAAACGAACCCAGUGAUAACCCUGUUUACCUAGUCAACGGUAAGUCGGGUUGUUACAAUAUAUUAUUGUGUUGAAGUAUUUAGAAUUGAAAAUCAUAGUAAUAUGCUAGAAAUUACGUGUUAAGUUGCGAUUUUAAGGGUUUUUAAGUGUUUUUGCCCCUUUUGCGCAUAAAGUAAAACUUGGUUUGUUUUGCAGGAAACUUGGCACAAAAUACUAUUCGGUAUAUGUUAUUUUGUUGAAUUGGUUAGAAUUCAAAAUCAUAGUCAUAUGCCAGAAAUACGUGUUAAGUUGCGAUUUUAUAGGUUUUUAUGCGCUUUUUCGCACUUUUGCGCAUAAAGUAGCUCAAACUUGGUUUGUUUUGCACGAAACUUGGCACAGAACACUAUUUGGUAUAUAUUAUUGUGUUGAAGUGGUUAGAAUUGAAAAUCAUAGUGAAAUGUUAGAAAUUACGUGUUAAGUUGCGAUUUUAAGGGUUUUUAAGCAUUUUCGAAACUUUUGUGCAUAAAGUAGCUCAAACUUGGUUUGUUUUGCACGAAACUUGGCACACAACACUAUUUGGUAUAUAUUAUUUUGUUGAAUUGUUUAGAAUUAAAAAUCAUAGUAAUAUGCCAGAGAAAUUAUGUGUUAAGUAGCGAUUUUAUAGGUUUUUAAGCGUUUUUGGCACUUUUGCGCAUAAAGUAGCUCAAACGUGGUUUGUUUUGCACGAAACUUGGCACAGAACAUUAUUUGGUUACAUAUUAUUGUGUUGAAGUGGUUAGAAUUGAAAAUCAUAGUCAUAUGCUAGAAAUUACGUGUUAAGUCGCGAUUUUAUGGGUUUUUAAGCGUUUUUUAGAACUUUUGUGCAUAAACUAGCUCAAACUUGGUUUAUUUUGCACGAAACUUGUUACACAACACUAU